rnacentral:rRNA from 1 species
GACGAACGCUGGCGGCGUGCUUAACACAUGCAAGUCGAGCGGUAAGGCCCUUUCGGGGGUACACGAGCGGCGAACGGGUGAGUAACACGUGGGUGACCUGCCCUUAGCUCUGGGAUAAGCCUGGGAAACUGGGUCUAAUACCGGAUAUGACUCCAUGACGCAUGUUGUGGGUGGAAAGCCUUGUGCGGCUAGGGAUGGGCCCGCGGCCUAUCAGCUUGUUGGUGGGUNAUGGCCUACCAAGGCGACGACGGGUAGCCGGCCUGAGAGGGCGACCGGCCACACUGGGACUGAGACACGGCCCAGACUCCUACGGGAGGCAGCAGUGGGGAAUCUUGCGCAAUGGGCGAAAGCCUGACGCAGCGACGCCGCGUGGGGAUGACGGCCU